UUUUUUUUUUCUUUUUUGGCCGCCCCAUGGCGUUUGGAGUUCCCAGGCCAGGGAUCAGAUCCAAGCUGUAGCUGUGACCUAAGCUGCAGCUGUGGCAAUUCUGGAUCCUUAACCCACAGUGCUGGGCCAGGGACCAAACUUGCAUCCCAGCACUCCCAAGAUGCCGUCAAUCGCACUGUGCCACAGCAGGAGCUCCAAAUUCCAUAGCUUAGACGCAGUAUAUAAAUUCCCUAAAAGGUAUAAACUAUCAAGUCCCCUUCAAGAAAUACAAAAUAAUAUCCAUACCUAGUAAAGCAACUGAAUUUGUAGUUUAAAAAUACCCCUGGCAUUCCCGUCAUGGCUCAGUGGUUAACGAACCCAACUGGCAUCCAUGAGGAUGUGGGUUCAAUCCCUGGCCUCACUCAGAGGGUUAAGGAUCUGACAUUGCCAUGAGCUGUGGUAUAGGUCACAGACGUGGCUCAGAUCUGGCGUUGCUGUGGCUGUGGCAUAGGCCAGCAGCUACAGCUCCGAUUCGACCCCUAGCCUGGGAAACUCCAUAUGCCGCAAGGGCAGCCCUCAAAAAACAAAACUACUCCUACAAAUAAAACUAUAGGUCCAAAUAGCUACACUAUUAAAGUCUUCUAAGCAUUAAAAAAACAAACAAAGCAAAAGAAAAAAGAGGUGUUCCCUGAUGGCCUAGUGGGUUAAGGAUCUGGUGUCGUCACUGCUGUGGUGUGGGUCUGUGAUCCCUGGCCCGUGAAUUUCUCCGUGCCACAGUGUGACCACAAAAAAAAAGAAAAAAAAAGUUUUUUAAAUAAAAAUAAUUUUAAAACAAAAAAUGAAAACAAACAAAAAAAUUCUACAAAAACUCCAAAUAUUGAAAGGGAGAAAAUAUUUCCUAACACAUUCUAUAAUGUCAGCAUUAUCCUUCCUAACCAGGCCAGCAGACUUAAAAGAAAAUUACAGGCUAUAUAUAUCUCUUAUGUAAACAAAUGUAAUAAUUUCAGUAAAUCAAACCCAAUACUAUAUUAAAAGACAAUAUACUGUGACCUAAUGGGGUUUAUGUCAGGAAUGCAAGGCUGGCUUAACAUUUAAAAAUCCACCAAUGAAGUUUCCACUGUGGCGCAGUGGUAAUGAACCCGACUAGUACCCAUGAGAAUGCAAGUUUGAUUCCUGGUCCCACUCAGUGGGUUAAGGAUCCACAGCCCAUUGCCACGAGCUGCGGUGUAGGUCGCAGACCCUGCUCUGUCCCCAAGUUGCUAUGCCUGUGGCGUAGGCAGGCAGCCAGAGCUCCAAUUUGACCCCUAGCCUGGGAACUUCCAUAUGCCGUAGGUUCGGCCCUAAAAAGACAAAAACAAAACAAACAUCCUUUAUCAUCUCAAUACAUGAAUAAAAAGCAUUUGACAAAAUACAGCAUCCAUUCCUGUCAAACUCUCAGCAAACUAGGAAAAGAAGGGAAUUUCCUCAACUUGAUAAAGAGCACCUAUACCGAACCCAGAGUUAGCAUCGCAUUUAACAGCAAAAGUCUGAAUGCUUUCCUUUAAGAUGAGGAACAAGGCAAUAAUGCCCACUCUCAACAUCUCUAUAUAACACUGCACUGGCAUGCCCAGCCCUGCAAUAAAACAAAGAAAACAAAAAACAAAUGGAAUUUGCAUUUAACUUUUAGAAAGCCAAAAAUCAAACUAUUUUUAUUCACAGAUAUGUGAUCAUCCAUACAAAAGAAUCUAAUAUAAUCAACAAAAAAGCUACUAGAAUUACUGAGUUGAACAAGGUUUUUAGGAUAAAUGAUCAAUAUUGAGAAGUCAGUUGUAUUUUAAUGCACUGGCAACAAGCCAUCAGAAAUGAAAAUUAUAGGAAUUCUCGUCGUGGUCCAGUGGGUAACGAAUCUGACUAGGAACCAUAAGGUUGCGGGUUCGGUCCCUACCCUUGCUCAGUGGGUUAAGGAUCCGGCGUUGCCAUGAGCUGUGGUGUAGGUUGCAGACUCGGCUUGGAUCCUGCGUUGCUGUGGCUGUGGCGUAGACUGGCGGCUACAGCUUCGAUUCUCCUAUUAGACCCCUAGCCUGGGAACCUCCAUAUGCCGCUGGAGCGGCUCAAGAAAAGGCAAAAAGACAAAAAAAAAAAAAAAAAAAUUGAAAAUUAUAAAGCAAAAUACUUUUACAAUAGCAUCAAAAAAUAUAAAAAAUUUAGGGCUAAAUCUGACGAAAGAUGCAUAGGCCUGUAUACCAAAAAUUACAAAAUACUGCCAAGAAACAUUAGAGAUUUAUUUAACUAGAGAGAGAUCCUGUUCAUGGAUCACAAGACCCAAUAAUGUUACGAUGUGAAUUCUCUUCUAAUUAAUCGGGAGAUUCAGGGCAAUCCUAAAUCAAAAUCCCAGCAAGUUUUUGCUUUGGUUUUAUUUUUUUAAGAAAUUGACAAGUUGAUACUAAAAUUCAAAUGGAAAUGCACAGGACCUAGCAUUGCCAAAUCAACUAUACAAAAGAAGAACAAAGCUGCAGGUCUUAAUACCACCUGGCUUGCAGGCUUAGUAUAAAGCUACAGUAAUUAAACAGCAUAAUACUGGAAUCAAGACAGACAAAUAGAUCAGGAACAGAACAAACAUCUAGGAAAAAGCCCACAUAUAUAAAGUCCAUUGAUUUCUGACAAAGGUACAAAGGAAUUUAGCAAAAAAGGACAUUCCUUUCAACAGUGUCAGGUCAACUAGAUAUGGACAAGCAACAAAGUAUGAACAUAAAUCCAUAUCUCACAUCACAUAUAAAAAAUUAACUCAAAAUACUGCUGAGCCACGACAGGAACUCCAAAUAUUUUUUUAAUUUAACAUCAAGAGUGCAAUACAUAACAGAAAAAGUGAGAAACUGGAUUUCAAAAUUAGGAACUUCUACUUCAAAUACAAUGCUAAGAAAAUGAAAGAAAAGACAGACUAGGAGAAAAUUCUUGCGAAUCACAUACCUAACAAAGAACUUGUACCCAAAAUAUAUAAAGAACUCUUAAACUCUCCAACAAUCUCAAACUCUCAAAAAAUCCAAUUAAAGACAUGGUCAAAAAGACCUCAACAAGCACUUCACCAAACAAAUUAUUUGGAUAGCAAACUGCAUACAUGGAAGGAUGCUCAACAUCGUGAGUCAUUGGAAAAAUGAAAAUUAAAGCCACGAUCAUAUCCCAGUGCACACCUGUUAGAAUGGCUAAAAUUAAGAAGACUGACCCUCGCCAGCCUGGGCAAGGACGGGGAACAACUGUGACCCUCACACACUGCUGGUGGGAGGGUGGGAUAGCACACUCCUCUGGAAGAGUUUCGGUUAUGCAAAGGCACAACUACCGCGUGGUCCGCCCAUGGCACUUCUGGAUGUUUAUCCAAGAGAAAGCAAGUCGUAUGUCCACACAAAGAGUACUACAUAGAUGCUCACAGUUAUCUUUAUUUUGAACAGCCAAGGAAUAGAAACAAAGCCCAAAUGCUCAUCAUCCGGUCAAAGGAUUAAAAAAAAGUUAAUAUAGCUAUGCAAUGGAGUGCUAUUCAGCAAUUAAAAAGGAAUGAACUAUCGAUACAGGCAACAACAUGAAUCAAUCUCAAAAUAACUAUCCUGGGAGUUCCCAUUGUGGCGCAGUGGAAACGAAUCCCACUAGUAUCCAUGGGGAUGCGGGUUCAAUCCCUGGCCUUCUUCAGUGGAUCCAGCAUUGCCGUGAACUAUGGUGUAGGUCAAAGACACAGCUGGGAUCCUGCGUUGCUGUGGCUGUGGUGAAGACCCGAAGCUAUAGCUCUGAUUCCACCCCUGGGCUGGGAACUUCCACGUGUCGCAGGUACAGCCCUAAAAAGCAAAAAGAAAAAAAAAAAGAAUGAUCUUGGAUGAAAGAAACCAGACAAAAACAGUACCCACUAUAUGAGUCCACUUGUACGAAAACCUAGAAAAUGCCAAUUAAUCUUUCAGUGACAGAAAGCUAAGGGGUGGUUGCGAGGGUGUGGAGACCGGAGGACAGAAGCACAGGAGGGAAGGCUCCCAGGAACGAAACUCUCGAAUGUGAUGGAUGCACUCCUCACCUUGGCUGUGAUCAUGGUUUCACAGACGCAAACACACAUUAAACAAACUGCACACUUUAAACAUGUACAAUCUGUUGUAUGUCAAUUACACGACAAUAAAGCAUUAUCCUUAAAACAUGUACGUUGCGUAAAAAUGACGAAAGCGAAACAAUUUUUUAAACAACCCCAAACUCUAAGGCUCACAUCCAAGUCCAAACACAACGUGAACUCCUGAAGAAUUACUCUGCCUUUUGAUUUUCCUUCUGAUUUUGGCAGGGGGGUGGGGUUCCUUUUCUUCUACUGUGCUCAGCUGUGGUUCUUUGCAGUAUUUCAUUUUCAAGUGUAUCUCACGCAGCAUUUCUCUGCAUCUGGACCAGGAGGACGGCUCUUCAGCAUGAGGUGGUCUACCACAUUGCUAGAAGCUCUCUGUUCACACCUGUACCCGGGCAUUCUGAGUCCCCUCCCUACAGUCCGCACUUCAACACACCUCACUGUAUGAGUUAUUUUAUAGAAGGAGCGUACAUUCAAACAAUAUUUCAUCUAAUAAGGGUUAUGUGAACAAUCAAAACAGUUCCAAUAGCGUAAGUUAAAAUCUUAUUUAUUAGAUGAAUUAAAUUACAUAUUAAAAUAUUCAUCUUACAGAAAGGUCUCCCUUAAUUAAUCUACAGAAACUGAUAAGAAGCCAGAUAAGAAAUUCAAGCAAGGCUUUAGUCUGGGCUCCUGCUGCAGCUGGAAAGAGGGAAAACAAGUAACAGGUUCCCCUGUUCACUCCCCAAGGAGGGACGAAUCCGUUCUUUUUUCCUUUCUUUUUUUUUUCUUUUUUUUUUUUUUUCUUUUUAGGGCCACACCUGUGGCAUAAUGGAAGUUCCCAGGGUAGGGGUCGAAUCUGAGCCAUAGCUGGAG
rnacentral:lncRNA from 1 species